rnacentral:rRNA from 1 species
AUUGAACGCUGGCGGCAGGCCUAACACAUGCAAGUCGAGCGGAGCGGCGGACGGGCGAGUAAGGCCUAGGAAUCUGCCUGGUAGUGGGGGAUAACGUCAGGAACCGGGCGCUAAUACCGCAUACUCUCAGAUGAGCCUAGGUCGGAUUAGCUAGUUGGUGGGGUAAAGGCCUACCAGGGCGGCCAACCGUAACAGGUCUGAGAGGAGGAUCAGUCACACUGGAACGGAGACACGGUCCAGACUCCUACGUGAGGUAGCAGUGGGGAAUAUUGGACAAUGGGCGAAAGCCUGAUCCAGCGAUGCCGCGUGUGUGAAGAAGGUCUUCGGAUUGUAAAGCACUUUAAGUUGGGAGGCGUUACCAACAGAAUAAGCACCGGCUAACUUCGUGCCAGCAGCCGCGGUAAUAC